ACGCUCGACACCUACGGUAGGCAGCAGUGGGGAAUAUUGCACAAUGGGGGAAACCCUGAUGCAGCAACGCCGCGUGAAGGAAGAAGGUUUUCGGAUCGUAAACUUCUAUCAAUAGGGACGAAGGAAAUGACGGUACCUAAAUAAGAAGCCCCGGCUAACUACGUUCCAGCAGCCGCGGUAAUCUGAGCGGGCUGGCAAGGC
rnacentral:rRNA from 1 species